rnacentral:rRNA from 1 species
CGUACACUCCUACGGGAGGCAGCAGUGGGGAAUAUUGGACAAUGGGCGCAAGCCUGAUCCAGCCAUGCCGCGUGAGUGAUGAAGGCCCUAGGGUUGUAAAGCUCUUUCACCGGUGAAGAUAAUGACGGUAACCGGAGAAGAAGCCCCGGCUAACUUCGUGCCAGCAGCCGCGGUAAUACGAAGGGGGCUAGCGUUGUUCGGAUUUACUGGGCGUAAAGCGCACGUAGGCGGACUAUUAAGUCAGGGGUGAAAUCCCGGGGCUCAACCCCGGAACUGCCUUUGAUACUGGUAGUCUUGAGUUCGAGAGAGGUGAGUGGAAUUCCGAGUGCAGAGGUGAAAUUCGUAGAUAUUCGGAGGAACACCAGUGGCGAAGGCGGCUCACUGGCUCGAUACUGACGCUGAGGUGCGAAAGCGUGGGGAGCAAACAGGAUUAGAUACCCUUGUAGUCCCAUGA